rnacentral:rRNA from 1 species
AUGAACGCUAGCUACAGGCUUAACACAUGCAAGUCGAGGGGCAGCAUGGUCUUAGCUUGCUAAGGCUGAUGGCGACCGGCGCACGGGUGAGUAACACGUAUCCAACCUGCCGUCUACUCUUGGCCAGCCUUCUGAAAGGAAGAUUAAUCCAGGAUGGGAUCAUGAGUUCACAUGUCCGCAUGAUUAAAGGUAUUUUCCGGUAGACGAUGGGGAUGCGUUCCAUUAGAUAGUAGGCGGGGUAACGGCCCACCUAGUCAACGAUGGAUAGGGGUUCUGAGAGGAAGGUCCCCCACAUUGGAACUGAGACACGGUCCAAACUCCUACGGGAGGCAGCAGUGAGGAAUAUUGGUCAAUGGGCGAUGGCCUGAACCAGCCAAGUAGCGUGAAGGAUGACUGCCCUAUGGGUUGUAAACUUCUUUUAUAAAGGAAUAAAGUCGGGUAUGCAUACCCGUUUGCAUGUACUUUAUGAAUAAGGAUCGGCUAACUCCGUGCCAGCAGCCGCGGUAAUACGGAGGAUCCGAGCGUUAUCCGGAUUUAUUGGGUUUAAAGGGAGCGUAGAUGGAUGUUUAAGUCAGUUGUGAAAGUUUGCGGCUCAACCGUAAAAUUGCAGUUGAUACUGGAUGUCUUGAGUGCAGUUGAGGCAGGCGGAAUUCGUGGUGUAGCGGUGAAAUGCUUAGAUAUCACGAAGAACUCCGAUUGCGAAGGCAGCCUGCUAAGCUGCAACUGACAUUGAGGCUCGAAAGUGUGGGUAUCAAACAGGAUUAGAUACCCUGGUAGUCCACACCGUAAACGAUGAUUACUAGGUGUUGGGAGAUUGACCCUCUCAGUGCCGCAGUUAACACAAUAAGUAAUCCACCUGGGGAGUACGACCGCAAGGUUGAAACUCAAAGGAAUUGACGGGGGCCCGCACAAGCGGAGGAACAUGUGGUUUAAUUCGAUGAUACGCGAGGAACCUUACCCGGGCUUAAAUUGCACUCGAAUGAUCCGGAAACGGUUCAGCUAGCAAUAGCGAGUGUGAAGGUGCUGCAUGGUUGUCGUCAGCUCGUGCCGUGAGGUGUCGGCUUAAGUGCCAUAACGAGCGCAACCCUUGUUGUCAGUUACUAACAGGUGAUGCUGAGGACUCUGACAAGACUGCCGUCGUAAGAUGUGAGGAAGGUGGGGAUGACGUCAAAUCAGCACGGCCCUUACGUCCGGGGCUACACACGUGUUACAAUGGGGGGUACAGAGGGCCGCUACCACGCGAGUGGAUGCCAAUCCCUAAAACCCCUCUCAGUUCGGACUGGAGUCUGCAACCCGACUCCACGAAGCUGGAUUCGCUAGUAAUCGCGCAUCAGCCACGGCGCGGUGAAUACGUUCCCGGGCCUUGUACACACCGCCCGUCAAGCCAUGGGAGCCGGGGGUACCUGAAGUGCGUAACCGCGAGGAUCGCCCUAGGGUAAAACUGGUGACUGGGGCU